rnacentral:rRNA from 1 species
GACGAACGCUGGCGGCGUGCUUAACACAUGCAAGUCGAACGGAAAGGCCCUGCUUUUGUGGGGUGCUCGAGUGGCGAACGGGUGUGUAACACGUGAGUAACCCGCUCUUGACUUUGGUAUAACUUCAGGAAACUGGGGCUAAUACCGGAUAGGAGCUCCUGCUGCUUGUUGUGGGUUGGAAAGUUUCGGCGGUUGGGGAUGGGCUCGCGGCUUAUCAGCUUGUUGGUGGGGUAGUGGCUUACCAAGGCUUUGACGGGUAGCCGGCCUGAGAGGGUGAACGGCCACAUUGGGACUGAGAUACGGCCCAGACUCCUACGGGAGGCAGCAGUGGGGAAUAUUGCACAAUGGGCGGAAGCCUGAUGCAGCAACGCCGCGUGCGGGAUGACGGCCUUCGGGUUGUAAACCGCUUUCGCCUGUGACGAAGCGUGAGUGACGGUAAUGGGUAAAGAAGCACCGGCUAACUACGUG